rnacentral:lncRNA from 1 species
UUUGGAACUAUGAUUUGAAUCAAAUUUAUGAUGAUUCGAAUCAAUCUUCACCUAAGAAUCAUUGAAUCAAAUCAUAGCAUGGGUAUCGAAUCAAUCUUCAUAACAACUCAAAUUUUAAUUUUUGCACUAUUCAUUCGAAUCAAAGUUGGAAUGAAUUGAUUCAAAUGCGUAUUUUCAUUUUUAUUUUAAGCCAAACUUGUUCCUAUCUCUCAUAGGUGUAUAUACUUACCUCCACUCAUUUUCUCAUUAUUGAAUCAAUUUUGCAAAAACUCUCUCUCUCUCUCUCUCUCCAACUUCUUUAAAUUAAACACUUUUUUCUAGGAACACUUGUAGCAAUUGGAGAUCUAGUUUGAUAAAGUUCUAUAUGAUAUUUAUAUAAUUGGUUUCAAUUAAGGAUCUUGGAGGAGCAUCGAGGAUCUUAAGAAAAAGGAGGUAGUUUUCACCUCUGAAGUUAAUUGUGGGGGUUUCCUCAAACAUUCAAGGUUCAAGGGGAUUGAAGUUAGAAUUUUAGCAAAUAAGAUUUAUUGAAAAAGAAGAUCGAAGGAUUGCAUGCUAGCUUGAGAUUCAAAGACCUUUGGAUCAUCCACUUUCAAGAGAGCUUGAAGAUUGGAAGAUUUGGAGCUAUUACUUAGUGUAGAAGAUUUAAAAUUAGGUUGAUUCGUAAAUUCGUAAAUUCAAGGAACCUUUGUAAUUGACUUUGUAAAUUUCAACAUGCCAGUGAAAGACCAUAAAGAUUUUCUCUACGAAGAGAGGACAUACCCCAUAGCAAGGAUGAUUGGCUGAACCUCUAUAAAUCUGAUGUUUACUUCUCUCUUCUCUUUUUUUUUUUUUUGAACAAGCUACUUCUCUCUAAUCUUUAUUUCUUGCAAUCAAUAAUUUUAUACAUAAUAGCUGAUUAGGUUAAUCUAUAUAUGUUAGGUGAUUGAAUAAAAUUUUGAAAACCUAAUUUGAUCUUUCA